UGCUAACUUUGGCAGCACUAUGCUAAAAUUAGAGCGAUACAGAGAAGAUUGGCAUAGCCCCUGUGCAAGGAUGGUACAAAGUUUUCACUGAGCUCAGUGGUU